UCAAAGAUUAAGCCAUGCAUGUCUAAGUAUAAGCAAUUUAUACAGUGAAACUGCGAAUGGCUCAUUAAAUCAGUUAUCAUUUAUUUGAUCGUUCAUUACUACAUGGAUAACCGUGGUAAUUCUAGAGCUAAUACAUGCUAAAAAUCCCGACUUCUGGAAGGGAUGUAUUUAUUAGAUAAAAAACCAAUGCCUUCGGGCUGUUUGGUGAUUCAUAAUAACUUGUCGAAUCGCAUGCCUUGCGCGGCGAUGGUUCAUUCAAAUUUCUGCCCUAUCAACUUUCGAUGGUAGGAUAGUGGCCUACCAUGGUUUCAACGGGUAACGGGGAAUAAGGGUUCGAUUCCGGAGAGGGGGCCUGAGAAACGGCCACCACAUCCAAGGAAGGCAGCAGGCGCGCAAAUUACCCAAUCCCGACACGGGGAGGUAGUGACAAUAAAUACCAUAUCGGGGCUCUUAGAGUCUCGAAGUGGAAUGAGUACAAUUUAAAUCCCUUAACGAGGAACAAUUGGAGGGCAAGUCUGGUGCCAGCAGCCGCGGUAAUUCCAGCUCCAAUAGCGUAUAUUAAAGUUGUUGCAGUUAAAAAGCUCGUAGUUGAACCUUGGCGUUGGUUGCCCGGUCCGCCUAACGGCGAGUACUGACGCGACCAGCGCUUCCUUCUGGCUUACCUUGUGCCUUUAACCGGGUGCAAGGGAACCAGGACUUUUACUGUGAAGAAAUUAGAGUGUUCAAAGCAGGCUCACGCUCGAAUAUUUUAGCAUGGAAUAAUGAAAUAGGACGUGUGGUUCUAUUUUGUUGGUUUCUAGGACCGCCGUAAUGAUUAAUAGGGACAGACGGGGGCAUCAGUAUUCAGUAGUCAGAGGUGAAAUUCUUGGAUUUACUGAAGACUAACUACUGCGAAAGCAUUUGCCAAGGAUGUUUUCAUUAAUCAAGAACGAAAGUUAGGGGAUCGAAGAUGAUCAGAUACCGUUGUAGUCCUAACCAUAAACUAUGCCGACUAGGGAUCGGGUGUGGCCCAAUGGACCUGCCCGGCACCUUACGAGAAAUCAAAGUUUUUGGGUUCUGGGGGGAGUAUGGUCGCAAGGCUGAAACUUAAAGGAAUUGACGGAAGGGCACCACCAGGAGUGGAGCCUGCGGCUUAAUUUGACUCAACACGGGGAAACUCACCAGGUCCAGACACAAAAAGGAUUGACAGAUUGAGAGCUCUUUCUUGAUUUUGUGGUUGGUGGUGCAUGGCCGUUCUUAGUUGGUGGAGUGAUUUGUCUGCUUAAUUGCGAUAACGAACGAGACCUUAACCUGCUAAAUAGUUCUGUCAGCUAUUUCUGACUAGAGCUUCUUAGAGGGACUAUCGGUUUUAAGCCGAAGGAAGUUUGAGGCAAUAACAGGUCUGUGAUGCCCUUAGAUGUUCUGGGCCGCACGCGCGCUACACUGACGGAGCCAGCGAGCACAUCCUUGACCGAGAGGUCUGGGUAAUCUUGUUAAACUCCGUCGUGCUGGGGAUAGAGCUUUGCAAUUAUUGCUCUUCAACGAGGAAUUCCUUGUAAGCACAAGUCAUCAGCUUGUGUUGAACGUGUCCCUGCCUUUUGUACACACCGCCCGUCGCUACUACCGAUUGAAUGGCUUAGUGAGGCCUUCGGACGUGCUCUUUAGAGGGGCAACCCUCUUGCUGAGCAUGAAAGUUGUACAAACUUGGUCAUUUAGAGGAAGUAAAAGUCGUAACAAGGUAUCUGUAGA
rnacentral:rRNA from 1 species